rnacentral:rRNA from 1 species
AACGUAGGACACAAGCGUUAUCCGGAGUUACUGGGCGUAAAGGGCUCGUAGGCGGCCAACUAAGUCGGAUGUGAAAUCCCCAGGCUCAACUUGGGAACUGCAUCCGAAACUGCAGAGCUUGAGUACCGGAGAGGGUGGCGGAAUUCCCCAAGUAGAGGUGAAAUUCGUAGAUAUGGGGAGGAACACCGGUGGCGAAGGCGGCCACCUGGACGGUCACUGACGCUGAGACGCGAAAGCGUGGGUAGCAAACAGG